GCUGGCAGUUAGCUCUCUGCAACUCUUACAUGGCUGCAGAAUGAAGCUAAGCAGGGCUGUGCCCGGUCAGUACCUCGAUGGGAGACCACAUGGGAAAUCUAGGUUGCUACCGGAA
rnacentral:rRNA from 1 species